AUUGAACGCUGGCGGCAUGCCCUACACAUGCAAGUCGAACGGCAGCACGGGAGCAAUCCUGGUGGCGAGUGGCGAACGGGUGAGUAAUAUAUCGGAACGUGCCCAGUCGUGGGGGAUAACGCAGCGAAAGCUGUGCUAAUACCGCAUACGAUCUACGGAUGAAAGCGGGGGAUCGCAAGACCUCGCGCGAUUGGAGCGGCCGAUAUCAGAUUAGCUAGUUGGUGAGGUAAAGGCUCACCAAGGCGACGAUCUGUAGCUGGUCUGAGAGGACGACCAGCCACACGGGAACUGAGACACGGUCCAGACUCCUACGGGAGGCAGCAGUGGGGAAUUUUGGACAAUGGGCGCAAGCCUGAUCCAGCAAUGCCGCGUGCAGGAUGAAGGCCUUCGGGUUGUAAACUGCUUUUGUACGGAGCGAAACGGUCUUUCCUAAUACGAGAGGCUAAUGACGGUACCGUAAGAAUAAGCACCGGCUAACUACGUGCCAGCCGCCGCAGUAA
rnacentral:rRNA from 1 species